ACCAAACGUGGCUCCUCUCGAUCCCCCUCGAGAAGUAAACGCCGCAGCCGUCCUCUUCCUGACGCAACCGCAUGUCACAGAGAAGACGUCGCCGCCGCCGCCGAUCGGGAUCAACGUCUCUCGCUGCCGCGGUCUCGUGCGAUCUCCCAACCGCCGACGUACGGGAUCGCCGCCACCGACCUCCGGGAUCAGCGUCUCUCGCUGUCGCGAUCUCCCUGUCGCCAGCAUACGGGAUCGCCGCCGCCACCGUACCAGAGGAAACACUGUCAACGAUGUCCGGGAUCGACACCCCCGCGCUUCCACAGAUAUGUGUUCGAGUCGUGCAUCCCUUUAGCCUCCGCCCCUCCAUCGUCCAUGGCUCUGUGAUCUGUCGUGUUUGUUACCCCAGUAUCCUGUCCCUUUUCCCCCGAGAUUGAUGUGUUGUUUGUUUUUUGUAUCAUUGUGGAGGAGGUUGGAGAAGCGCAGGGAGAAAGGGGACCAUGGACCAAGGUUCUACAACUUUUGUUUAUAGAUUCGGGAUUCUUAUAGCCAAAGACUAUUUUACUAGAGAUUGGCGAUUUUGGGUUUCCACUGUAGCCAUUGUAGGAUUCACUAUUUUGUUCAACAUAUUGUACCUUCUGGCACUUACGCACUUGAGCUAUUAGUACCUUUUCUUCUUCUGGUUGACAUUAUUGUUCACUAUAUAUGAUUUGUUCUCAUCCAGUUGGCAGCAGCUCAAACACAGUUUCAGACGAGGAGAAUGAGAAUGAGACAAACAUUCAGACGAGGAGAAUGAGACAAACACUCUAUAGAUGAGUUCUUAUUAUUCACUAUCUUCACUUGCAAUUUCUGAAUGUUUGUCUCAUUCACUAUCUUCACUAUAUUUCAUUGCACUACUGAAGUCUAAUUAGUCAAGACAUUUGAAUCCGUUAACAAUAAUUCUAAUUAUUCACUAUCUUCACUUGCAAUUUCUGCAGAUGAAGCGACAAAUCGACCAAUUUGGUCACAUAUCACCUUGCCUUUCCAGCCUCUUUCACUUCCUUUCAACCAUCUUGUGUUCCAGGAAAUGAGAGAGCAAGGAUUCACAGAAAGUCGUCUCCACUUGCUCUCUCAUAUCACAGGUGCUUUUUGGCCUGCUGUUUUGUCAUGGGAGCCACAUGUGUUCAUCUAAUACAACUUCCAUGUGAAUCUCUUUCCCCAUUCUGUUUUUGGUUUGGACCGAAACAACUUAUCGUUAUUGCUGGUUCUAGGAUGCGGGUUGGGAUAUCUCCAGAUUAAUAUCAAGGAUUUUAGGAUAUUGUUAAAUUCCAGUUAAGAGCUCGUUGUAAAUGUUGUCCUAUCGGUACCAGAUUAGAUUCGUGAAGUAAAAUUCAAAAUGCUUGUAAUUUAGUCGCAAGAAUGGCGAAUGAAGUUUACUUAUGAUGUGAGUUAGGUACCAAAAAUUGUGGACUAAGGAACCAGAUGUGAGUUGUAUCACCAUUGGCAUUUUACUGUAUAGGCUAUUAUAGACAUGGCUCUACAUGCGUUGAGAAGUGUGAGCACGUCAAGAUAUUCUCCAUCUAGGAAUCCUCGUAUAUAUUCACACAUACGUUAUUCUUUAAAUCUGCUUGGGGGUCAAACUCAGGUGAACGGACACAUGUGCAUGAUUAUUAGUAUCCAAAGUGCCUUUAGAAGCUGUUUACUUCUGAUGACAUUGCAUAAUGAGAGGUGUGACAGGAGUAUUUGUUGUAUUUUACCUGACUGGUAUUACUGCAACUAUUAAUUAUCCAUGUUAGUUCUCUUCAAAUAGCAAUUAGGGUAUGACUGGCUUUACUGAUGCUCUCAUUCCAAGGAAAAAUGUGAAUAUUUGAUUUCAUUGGCAAAGCCUCACAUGAAGAAGUCAACGCCCCGACGCUGGUUGAUUCUGCAACUGGACGCAGUAAAGAUAGCAGGGUGCGAAUGAGUUCACAAGUAAAUAUGAGGGUUGGAAGUUGUACACCCAAAUAUGUGAUCGUGGACACUAACUGAGGACAAAAAUGUGAUGGCGUCAUUAACAGUUCAAUGGGAAUUUGGAGAAGGGUGCAUUAUCUCUGUGCUGAUUGGUGUAGAGCAUGUAGGAUGUGCUUGGUGAGCUUGAAUGCGACCAAACCGUGUUGGAUUCGACAUCAAACAUUUAUAUCUUACUAUGUAGGAGUACUUUGUUAUGGUUUCGUUGCAAUGCUUGUGGCCAGUAAGAUGUUUUCUUAUAACACAGGUCUGGGGCUGGCAGAUUGUUGGGUGAGAUGUUUGUGGACUUUGUACAAGAAAUAAGAGAGAGAAGUAAGAUUAAACCGCAACUCUGAUGGCGUUGGCCAGCUGCGAGGCAAGCCCUCCUAAUCCCCCCUCCUCCUCAUUUUCCUUUCAAACCUAGAUGUUGGUUUCCUAUAGUAUAACCAGUGCGUACUUCGAUUGCUCGCAUGCACCUUGAUUUCCAUUAAGCAAUAUUUUGCAUCUGCCACUGGGCAGUGUGAUGCUCAAACUUUUAAGUGACGCUUGUGGACUUUGGAUUGCUUACAGGUUGGUGGAAAUUCAUUUUUUUUUUGAGUUAGCCGAAUAUUAGGUGUUCGUUGAAAUAAAACAUAUGUAUGUGUGACCCUUAGGUGUUCGUUGAAAGUCCCCAUACGAGUUGAUGUUUCAGAUUUUAAGUACUGUGUGUUCUUCAAUGGACCAAUUCAUGGCUUUCAUCUUUAAUGC